GGUGGCUCAGUGGUAGAGCGCUUGCCUUGCAUGCUCAAGGCCCUGGGUUCGAUUCCCCAGCACCA
rfam:Dipodomys ordii contig_17648, whole genome shotgun sequence.